CCUACGGGUGGCAGCAGUGAGGAAUAUUGCGCAAUGGGCGAAAGCCUGACGCAGCGACGCCGCGUGAGGGAUGAAGGUCCUCUGAUCGUAAACCUCUGUCAGCAGGGAAGAACGGUCACUGUGCUAAUCAGCAGUGAAUUGAAGGUACCUGCAAAGGAAGCACCGGCUAACUCCGUGCCAGCAGCCGCGGGAAUACGGAGGGGGCGAGCGUUAUUCGGAAUUACUGGGCGUAAAGCGCUCGUAGGCGGUAUGUCAAGUCAAGGGUGAAAUCCCCGCGCUCAACGCGGGAACUGCCUUUGAUACUGGCAGACUGGAGUGUGGGAGAGGAAAGUGGAAUUCCAGGUGUAGCAGUGAAAUGCGUAGAUAUCGGGAGGAACAUCAGUGGCGAAGGCGACUUUCUGGACCAUAACUGACGCUGAGGAGCGAAAGCGUGGGGAGCAAACAGGAUUAGAUACCCCAGUAGUC
rnacentral:rRNA from 1 species